GCUUUCGUGAUGUAAUGGCCAGCACACUCGGCGCCUAUCGAGAUGUCUGCGGUUCGAAUCCCUGCGAGGGCA
rnacentral:tRNA from 1 species